CGUAAUAGCUCACUAGUCGAGUGAUUUUGCGCCGAAAAUUUACCGGGGCUAAGCAUAUUACCGAGAUUGUGGACAUGACGUAGUCAUGUGAUAGGAGAGCGUUCUAAGGGCAAYGAAGUUAGACCGUAAGGACUGAUGGAGCGCUUAGAAGUGAGAAUGCCGGUAUGAGUAGCGAAAGAUUAGUGAGAAUCUAAUCCACCGAAUGACUAAGGUUUCCUGGGGAAGGCUCGUCCUCCCAGGGUAAGUCGGGACCUAAGCCGAGGCCUAGAGGCGUAGGCGAUGGAUAACAGGUUGAAAUUMCUGUACUAGUUAAUUAUGUUUGAGCGAUGGAAGGACGUAGAAGGCUAACUCGUGCACACUAUUGGAUUGUGUGUUCAAGCAGUGAGUCAGUUGAAGAGUGAAAUGCUUUUCAGCGKGUUGACAAGCUGUGAUGAGGAUCGAAUUAUAGUAGAGAAGUGRGCCAUGUCACGCUACCGAGAAAAGUUUCUAGUGAGUAAUUAACUACCCGUACCGCAAACCGACACAGGUAGUCGAGGAGAGUAUCCUAAGGUGAGCGAGUGAACUCUUGUUAAGGAACUCGGCAAAAUGACCCCGUAACUUCGGGAGAAGGGGUGCUGCACUAACGUGCAGCCGCAGUGAAAAGGCUCAGGCGACUGUUUAUCAAAAACACAGGUUUCUGCAAAAUCGUAAGAUGAAGUAUAGGGGCUGACGCCUGCCCGGUGCUGGAAGGUUAAGUGGAUGAGUUAGCUUCGGCGAAGCUCAGAAACGAAGCCCCAGUAAACGGCGGCCGUAACUAUAACGGUCCUAAGGUAGCGAAAUUCCUUGUCGGGUAAGUUCCGACCCGCACGAAAGGCGUAACGAUCUGAGCACUGUCUCAACAAGAGACUCGGUGAAAUUGAGAUACCUGUGAAGAAGCAGGUUACCCGCGACAGGACGGAAAGACCCCAUGGAGCUUUACUGUAAUUUGAUAUUGGGUGUUGACAUAGCUUGUACAGGAUAGGUAGGAGCCGUGGAAACCGGAACGCUAGUUUCGGUGGAGGCAUUGUUGGGAUACUACCCUCGCUGUGCUAACACUCUAACCCGCACCACUUAUCGUGGUGGGAGACAGUGUCUGAUUGGCAGUUUGACUGGGGCGGUCGCCUCCCAAAUAGUAACGGAGGCGCCCAAAGGUUCCCUCAGAAUGGUUGGAAAUCAUUCGCAGAGUGUAAAGGCACAAGGGAGCUUGACUGCGAGACAGACAGGUCGAGCAGGGACGAAAGUCGGGCUUAGUGAUCCGGUGGUACCAUAUGGAAGGGCCAUCGCUCAACGGAUAAAAGCUACCCUGGGGAUAACAGGCUUAUCUCCCCCAAGAGUUCACAUCGACGGGGAGGUUUGGCACCUCGAUGUCGGCUCAUCGCAUCCUGGGGCUGUAGUUGGUCCCAAGGGUUGGGCUGUUCGCCCAUUAAAGCGGUACGCGAGCUGGGUUCAGAACGUCGUGAGACAGUUCGGUCCCUAUCCGUCGCGGGCGUAGGAAAUUUGAGGGGAGCUAUCUCUAGUACGAGAGGACCGAGAUGGACAUACCGCUGGUGUACCAGUUGUCCCGCCAGGGGCACUGCUGGGUAGCUAUGUAUGGUUGAGAUAAACGCUGAAAGCAUCUAAGUGUGAAACCCACCUCAAGAUGAAAUUUCCCAUUCCUUUAUGGAAGUAAGACCCCUAAGAGAUGAUUAGGUAGAUAGGCUAGAAGUGGAAGUGCAGCAAUGUAUGGAGCGGACUAGUACUAAUUGGUCGAGGACUUAACCAAG
rnacentral:rRNA from 1 species